AGGGAGAGGGGAACUCAACACACUUCGGAAAUGUAAGAUUAAUGGGGUUACCACUGAGGAUAGAGAGUUGUUAUCAGACUUUACCACUAAAUUGUAUUGAGAAUCUUUACUCCUUAGAUAACAAUUUGGGUGACUCUAAGGAUCCCCUUGAUUCUAUAGAGAAGGUUAAUUCGGUUAGUGACGAAUUCAAUCGGUCUUGUUGUCAAGAUUUAUCCAUUAUGGACAUCCAGUACGGGAUUGCUCAGUUAAAAAAAUAACAAAUCUCCAGGUUGUGAUGGAUUAACCUCUGAACCUUCUCUGAAGAAAGAGCCCCAUUUUUACUUGAAACCUUUAAGGAGGCUUUAAAGAAGGGAGAACUACCUGCCUCUUUGAAGCAAGGGGUUAUUACUCUUAUACCUAAACCACACAAGGAUCUCUUAAAUCAUGAUAAUUGAUAACCUCACUUUUUUGGAAAAAUGUGUCACAAACUAGAUUAGCAUUGGAUAUCGUGAAGCAGUUCUCCAAAAUCUCAGGUUUGGUAUUAAAUCUUUCCAAAUGUGAGAUGUUUGUUUUGAAAGGAGCUUUCAAUCCAGCAGAAUGUAGCAUCUCUGAAAAAGAUACUGUAACCUACCUCGCUGUAAAGAUCACUAAAAAUCUGAAGCCUGUGAAUGAUCUUAAUUUGAACGUUGUAACUGAAUCUGUCAAAAAAAAAUCUCAUGGUUAGGGAGGGAUUUAAGUCUUCAAGGAAGGGUGCUUUUAUCCAAAGCUGAGGGGCUAUCUCGUGCAUCCUAUCUUUUUUUAAUCUAUUGACAUUCCCAAAUCCACUUGCUGUAUCUUAGAUAGGCUAUUGUACAUGUUCAUAUGGAAAAACAAGCCACAUAAGAUAAAAAAGAGAUGUUUAUCACCAACAGGGUUUGUGAUGGCGCUCUAAAUGUCUUAGACUUCACUCUUUUCAAUCAGAUAUCAAAAAUCAAUUGGGUUGAAAGGUACAUAAAAAAUCCUCAUAGUUUCUGGAAAAUUAUACCUCAUUUUGUUUUUCAGAAGUUCGAAAAGCUUCAUUUUUUUACUACAAUGUCCAUAUAUUGUUGGUAAACUUCCUGUGAAACUGGCAGCUUUUCACAAGCAGGCUUUAAUGUGCUCGGCUUUGUUCUAUAAACACAACUUUUCACAUCAUACAUGUUUUAUAUGGAACAAUGGGUCGUUAUUACAUAGAAAAAAAUAUGUUAUAUUACCAUAAAUGGUUCUCGAAAAACAUUAUCCUUGUCCAGACAAUUAGUUAUUAUUAGUGGGAACCUAUUUACGUGGAGAUAAUUUAUGGAAAGAUACAAGGUUUUAAGCGAGGAAUAUGACACUGUUAUUAAAGCUAUACCUAGUGGGAUAAAAACGUUUCUUCAGAAUAUUGUAUAUUUUGGAAUAUCUCCGAUUGUAGGUGAUAUCCAGGUAAAUGGCAUUGGUCUACUAGAUACGAAAUUCAACAAUUGUUUAUUAAGGGAUAUUUUCUACAGGAAGUCUAUUCCCUCUGCGAUAUUUUGUUGGCCUUCAUCGUUUGAUGUAAACUGGAGCCGUGCUUGGCUCACUCCACACACAUUUAUGGUGACCAAUAAAAUAAAGGAGAUGUCCUUUAAGAUUAUCCAUAGAUUAUAUCCGUGUAAUAGCUUGAUUUCUAAAUAUAUACCUGAUGUUACCAGUGAAUGCAGUUUUUUUUAACUAGAAACGGAAUCUAUUGAACACUUAUUCUGUCACUGUUUAUAUAGUGAAGUGUUCUGGACUGAUGUAAAACUAUAUCUUGGCCUCAAAUUGCAUACAACCAUUGACAUUUCUAAGUUUGACAUAUUAUUCUACUACACUGAUUCCACAAUUGAACGUGAGUAUGUCAUAAAUCUCUUUAUUUUAAGAGGAACAUCUUUCUUACACAAAUCAAAAUUUAUGAAGAAAAAGCCCCUUUUCUCAUUUUUUUAGAUCUGAUGUGGAAUGCUAUUUAGAGUCAUUAAAACGUAUACAAAACAAAAUGUAAAAAAAUGUAUUCGCUACAUGUCUGUAUUUGAAUUGAUAUGUGGAUUCGUUUUUUUCCCCAUUUCUUUGUGGAAUCACUCUGGCUGUUAUGUUUUGUAUGUUACUGUUAAUAAAAAAAAAUUUUUUUUUAAAAGGAUAAAAUUAAAAAUAAUUCAAAAAUAAACACAGGACGGUUCUUAUUAUAGCUCAGUACACAUUACAACAGUGAAUAUGCACACUCAAAAUAUGAUAUAUUAUUUAAAUGGACAAAUAUGAGGGGUUAAUGAAUAAUCAUUUGAAGAUAGAUUAACGAGGUGGCAAGGACAAGUUUUGAAACUCUGUAUUGGAGGUGUGUUUUUUGCUUCUUCACCCCGCCCACUCCGAAAAAGUCAGUUGUCGUUAUUUGUAUUUUUUAAGGUGAGGUUUCGGUCUCCUUCGAUUCAUGUGUCUUUAAAAGUACGAGACAUAUCUGGAUUCCUAUAUAAUGGAAGUAGCACAAUCGAACCUAAAUUAUAAUUUUUUUAUCAAUAUUUAGAUGAAUCCCCGCAGGACAUUGGUGAGGAGGAGAGAGGAGUCGAGGCUCGUAAUGGCUGAAAUGGAGCAUCCUACACAGCAAGAAGUCUGCAGGAUGAUAGGCUAUUGCACAUUGGUCCUGUGUCUCAUACCACAGGUGACAUAGGUUAUAAGCAAGGGGAUCCCGAAACCCUAUACGUCAACAAAGUUGGUCCUUACCACAACCCGGAACCCCAGGGAACGUAUCAUUACUACAUGUUGUCUGUUUGCAGGCCAAGAGUGUGGGAGAAGUGCUUGAUGGAGAUCGGAUGAGUCCCUGUAUAAAAUCAAAUUCUGGGAGAAUACAGAGAAAAACAAGGCACUGCCAGCUAAGUCUAACAGAGAAAGAGGUGGACCAGCUCCGAGAGGCCAUAGAGGAGCUGCGUUACUUUGAGUUUGUCCUGGAUGACAUUCCCAUCUGGGGCUUUGUGGGGUACAUGGAGGAGAGUGGCUUCCUGCCUCAAAGUCAUAAGGAGGGUGGGGCUGUGGACACACCUGGACUUCAACAUCAUGUUCAACGGCGACUCUGUGAUCUUUGCCAACGUCUCAGUGAAGGACUCCAAGCCAGUGCCCCUGGAGGAGGGUAGGGUGGCGGUGGCUCCAGACACUGGGUGGUGGGGGCAGGCUGGCACUGUCCUUAACCUACAGCGUGCACUGGUUUGAUAGCCCUCUGACCCAUGCCCAGCUGGCAGAGAGGCUGAGGGAUUACUCGUUCUUCCCCAAGACUCUGGAAAUCUACCUGGUACUGGUGGUGCUACUGCUGGGCUUUGUCAUCAUCCUCACCCGGGUCCUCAAGAACGACUCCUGUAGCUUCUACACACAGAUACAUGGCCAGAGCCUGGUCUGGAAUAUCCUCCUCUACACACAGAUACAUGGCCAGAGCCUGGCCUGGAAUUUCCUCCUGACUCUUCUCAGGUGACGGGACCGAUUUGAUUUUAUGAAUCAUGCCAUACAUUCCGUAAAUGUUCCAUAUAUUGUACAUUUAAUGUAUUUUUGUCAAUUCUUGUAGAGUUUCAAUUACAAUAAAAAAUGUACACAGUAUGUGUGUAUUUUCAGCAGGA